rnacentral:rRNA from 1 species
GACGAACGCUGGCGGCGUGCUUAACACAUGCAAGUCGAACGGAAAGACCCUGCUUUUGUGGGGUGCUCGAGUGGCGAACGGGUGAGUAACACGUGAGUAACCUGCUCUUGACUUUGGGAUAACUUCAGGAAACUGGGGCUAAUACCGGAUAGGAUCUCCUGCUGCAUGGUGGGGGUUGGAAAGUUUCGGCGGUUGGGGAUGGACUCGCGGCUUAUCAGCUUGUUGGUGGGGUAGUGGCUUACCAAGGCUUUGACGGGUAGCCGGCCUGUGUGGGUGACCGGCGACAUUGGGACUGAGGUACGGCCCAGACUCCUACGGGAGGCAGCAGUGGGGAAUAUUGCACAAGGGGCGGAAGCCUGAUGCAGCAACGCCGCGUGCGGGAUGACGGCCUUCGGGUUGUAAACCGCUUUCGCCUGUGACGAAGCGUGAGUGACGGUAAUGGGUAAAGAAGCACCGGCUAACUACGUG